CGACGACGGGAAGCCGGCCUGAGAGGGUGACCGGCCCCACUGGGACUGAGACACGGCCCAGACUCCUACGGGAGGCAGCAGUGGGGAAUAUUGCACAAUGGGCGCAAGCCUGAUGCAGCGACGCCGCGUGAGGGAUGACGGCCUUCGGGUUGUAAACCUCUUUCAGUAGGGAAGAAGCCGUAAGGUGACGGUACCUGCAGAAGAAGCGCCGGCUAACUACGUGCCAGCAGCCGCGGUAAUACGUAGGGCGCAAGCGUUAUCCGGAAUUAUUGGGCGUAAAGAGCUCGUAGGCGGUUUGUCGCGUCUGCCGUGAAAGUCCGGGGCUCAACUCCGGAUCUGCGGUGGGUACGGGCAGACUAGAGUGAUGUAGGGGAGACUGGAAUUCCUGGUGUAGCGGUGAAAUGCGCAGAUAUCAGGAGGAACACCGAUGGCGAAGGCAGGUCUCUGGGCAUUAACUGACGCUGAGGAGCGAAAGCAUGGGGAGCGAACAGGAUUAGAUACCCUGGUAGUCCAUGCCGUAAACGUUGGGCACUAGGUGUGGGGGACAUUCCACGUUUUCCGCGCCGUAGCUAACGCAUUAAGUGCCCCGCCUGGGGAGUACGGCCGCAAGGCUAAAACUCAAAGGAAUUGACGGGGGCCCGCACAAGCGGCGGAGCAUGCGGAUUAAUUCGAUGCAACGCGAAGAACCUUACCAAGGCUUGACAUGAACCGGACCGCUGCAGAAAUGUGGUUUCCCCUUUGGGGCUGGUUUACAGGUGGUGCAUGGUUGUCGUCAGCUCGUGUCGUGAGAUGUUGGGUUAAGUCCCGCAACGAGCGCAACCCUCGUUCUAUGUUGCCAGCACGUGAUGGUGGGGACUCAUAGGAGACUGCCGGGGUCAACUCGGAGGAAGGUGGGGACGACGUCAAAUCAUCAUGCCCCUUAUGUCUUGGG
rnacentral:rRNA from 1 species